AUACGUAGGUGGCGAGCGUUGUCCGGAAUUACUGGGCGUAAAGGAUGCGUAGGUGGAUAUUUAAGUGGGAUGUGAAAUCCCCGGGCUCAACCCGGGAACUGCAUUCCAAACUGGGUAUCUAGAGUGCAGGAGAGGAAAGCGGAAUUCCUAGUGUAGCGGUGAAAUGCGUAGAUAUUAGGAGGAACACCAGUGGCGAAGGCGGUUUUCUGGACGUUAACUGACACUGAGGCAUGAAAGCGUGGGUAGCAAACAGGAUUAGAUCCCCUGGUAGUCCACGCCGUAAACGAUGGGUACUAGGUGUAGGAGGUAUCGACCCCUUCUGUGCCGUCGUUAACACAAUAAGUACCCCGCCUGGGGAGUACGGUCGCAAGACUAAAACUCAAAUGAAUUGGCGGGG
rnacentral:rRNA from 1 species